UUUUUUUGUUUCCCCCACGAAAAACCGGGGGGGCUAUACAUGYWAKUYKWWCGCMCAGMGAAAGGUGCUYGCACCUUUCAAGUGAGUGGCGAACSGGUGAGWAACMCGUGGACAACCYGCCUCMAGGCUGGGGAUAACAYUUGGAAACAGAUGCUAAUACCGAAUAAAACUUAGUGUCGCAUGRCACAAAGUUAAAAGGCGCUUYGGCGUCMCCUAGAGAWGGAUCCSCGGUGCCAUUAGUUAGUUGGUGGGGUAAAGGCCUACCAAGRCAAUGAUGCAUAGCCGAGUUGAGAGACUGAUCGGCCACAUUGGGACUGAGACMCGGCCCAAACUCCUACGGGAGGCUGCAGUAGGGAAUCUUCCACAAUGGGCGAAAGCCUGAUGGAGCAACGCCGCGUGKGUGAUGAAGGCUUUCGGGUCGUAAAGCACUGUUGUAUGGGAAGAACAGCUAGAAUAGGAAAUGAUUUUAGUUUGACGGUACCAUACCAGAAAGGGACGGCUAAAUACGUGCCAGCAGCCGCGGUAAUACGUAUGUCCCGAGCGUUAUCCGGAUUUAUUGGGCGUAAAGCGAGCGCAGACGGUYUAUUAAGUCUGAUGUGAAAGCCCGGAGCUCAACUCCGGAAUGGCAUUGGAAACUGGUUAACUUGAGUGCAGUAGAGGUAAGUGGAACUCCAUGUGUAGCGGUGGAAUGCGUAGAUAUAUGGAAGAACACCAGUGGCGAAGGCGGCUUACUGGACUGCAACUGACGUUGAGGCUCGAAAGUGUGGGUAGCAAACAGGAUUAGAUACCCUGGUAGUCCACACCGUAAACGAUGAACACUAGGUGUUAGGAGGUUUCCGCCUCUUAGUGCCGAAGCUAACGCAUUAAGUGUUCCGCCUGGGGAGUACGACCGCAAGGUUGAWACUCAAAGGAAUUGACGGGGACCCGCACAAGCGGUGGAGCAUGUGGUUUAAUUCGAAGCAACGCGAAGAACCUUACCAGGUCUUGACAUCCUUUGAAGCUUUUAGAGAUAGAAGUGUUCUCUUCGGAGACAAAGUGACAGGUGGUGCAUGGUCGUCGUCAGCUCGUGUCGUGAGAUGUUGGGUUAAGUCCCGCAACGAGCGCAACCCUUAUUGUUAGUUGCCAGCAUUCAGAUGGGCACUCUAGCGAGACUGCCGGUGACAAACCGGAGGAAGGCGGGGACGACGUCAGAWCAUCAUGCCCCUUAUGACCUGGGCUACACACGUGCUACAAUGGCGUAUACAACGAGUUGCCAACCCGCGAGGGUGAGCUAAUCUCYUAAAGUACGUCUCAGUUCGRAUKGUAGUCUGCAACUCGMCUACAAUGAAGUCCKGAAUCGCUAGUAAUCGCGGAUCAGCACGCCGCGGUGAAUACGUUCCCGGGUCUUGUACACACCGCCCGUCACACCAUGGGAGUUUGUAAUGCCCAAAGCCGGUGGCCUAACCUUUUAGGAAGGAGCCGUCUANNNCGAGANCA
rnacentral:rRNA from 1 species